rnacentral:misc_RNA from 1 species
GAAAUGCGAUAAGUAAUGUGAAUUGCAGAAUUCCGUGAAUCAUCGAAUCUUUGAACGCACAUUGCGCCCUCUGGUAUUCCGGGGGGCAUGCCUGUCCGAGCGUCAUUGCGAACCCCUCAAGCACGGCUUGUGUGAUGGGCCCGCCCGCGUCUUGGUCGUCAAGACGGGCCCGAAAUGCAGUGGCGGCUUCGCGGUUAUCCGAUCAGCCAGAGCGUAUGGGGACUUUCUCUCUGUCACACGCCCGCGGCGCGGACCGACGCCUGUCGACCUUCAUUCAUCGUUUUCUCGGUUGACCUCGGAUCAGGUAGGGAUACCCGCUGAACUUAAGC